CCUACGGGUGGCAGCAGUGGGGAAUAUUGCACAAUGGGGGAAACCCUGAUGCAGCGACGCCGCGUGAGUGAAGAAGUAAUUCGUUAUGUAAAGCUCUAUCAGCAGGGAAGAAAAUGACGGUACGUGAGUAAGAAGCCCCGGCUAACUACGUGCCAGCAGCCGCGGUAAUACGUAGGGGGCAAGCGUUAUCCGGAUUUACUGGGUGUAAAGGGAGCGUAGACGGCAGUGCAAGUCCGGAGGGAAAUGCGGGGGAUCAACCCCGGGACUGCUCUUGAAACUGUACGUCUUGAGUGGAGGAGAGGUAAGUGGAAUGCCUAGUGUAGCGGUGAAAUGCGUAGAUAUUAGGAGGAACUCCAGUGGCGAAGGCGGCUUACUGGACUGUAACUGACGUUGAGGCUCGAAAGCGUGGGGAGCAAACAGGAUUAGAUACCCCUGUAGUC
rnacentral:rRNA from 1 species